ensembl:lncRNA
CCAACCCUAGCUAGCUAAAGUAGGACAGCACAGUGUAGUUAAAGAAGGACAGCACAGUGUAGCUAAAGUAAGACAGCACAGUGUAGCUGAAGUAGGACAGCACAGUGUAGCUAAAGUAGGACAGCACAGUGUAGUUAAAGAAGGACAGCACAGUGUAGCUAAAGUAAGACAGCACAGUGUAGCUAAAGUAGGACAGCACAGUGUAGUUAAAGAAGGACAGCACAGUGUAGCUAAAGUAGGACAGCACAGUGUAGCUAAAGAAGGACAGCACAGUGUAGCUAAAGUAGGACAGCACAGUGUAGCUGAAGUAGGACAGCACAGUGUAGCUAAAGUAGGACAGCACAAUGUAGCUAAAAUAGAACAACACAUAGUAGCUAAAGUAGAACAGCAUGGAGUAGCUAAAGUAGGACAGCACAGUGUUGCUAAAGUAGGACAGCACAGUGUAGCUAAAGUAGGACAGCACAGUGUAGCUGAAGUAGGACAGCACAGUGUAGCUAAAAUAGAACAACACGGAGUAGCUAAAGUAGAAAAACAUGGAGUUGCUAAUGUAGGACAGCAUGGAGUAGCUAAAGUAGGACAGUAUGGAGUAGCUAAAGUAGGACAGCAUGGAGUAGCUAAAGUAGGAUUGCAUGGAGUAGCUUAAGUAGGACAGUAUGGAGUAGCUAAAGUAGGACCGCACAGUGUAGCUAAAAUAGAACAACAUGGAGUAGCUAAAGUAGAACAGCAUGGAGUAGCUAAAGUAGGACAGCACAGUGUAGCUAAAGUAGGACAGCACAGUGUAGCUAAAGUAGGACAGCACAAUGUAGCUAAAAUAGAACAACACAGAGUAGCUAAAGUAGAACAGCAUGGAGUAGCUAAAGUAGGACAGCACAGUGUAGCUAAAGUAGGACAGCACAGUGUAGCUAAAGUAGGACAGCACAGUGUAGCGAAAGUAGGGCAGCAUGGAGUAGCUAAAGUAGAACAGUCUUAUAGGCUUUUCCAUUCGAGGAAAGAGAUCCAGUUUACAUUAGGAACCCCCUGUACUUAGGUUAGGCAGGGACCGGGAUCUUGUAGUACUAUAUACAAUUUUGUUGUACUGUUAUUAAUACUAUUAUUAAUACUGUUGAGUGCAUUCAGAAUAAGUGGGGCACUUUUUUAAUUUCCAUCUUCUACAAUCUCUUCAGACAUCUAUCCAACAUAUUAGCCCGAUACAUUUCUGAAAUUCUCAGAUGUUUCCUAAUCAAUCACAAAUUGAAUUGAUUUGUCAUUGGGGUACACACCCAUUUGCGUACGCUGAGUCAAAACCAAUAUUUUCUGUUUUGCAUUUGGUAGAUUGGGACAACAGGUUAGAUACACUGGGACAACAGGUACAUUAUGUAUGGAUUUAUAGACACCCCAGACCAGGAUGUAGAUACAUUAUGUAUGGAUAUAUAGACACCCCAGACCAGGAUGUAGAUACAUUAUGUAUGGAUAUAUAGACACCCCAGACCAGGAUGUAGAUACAUUAUGUUUGGAUAUAUAGACACCCCAGACCAGGAUGUAGAUACAUUAUGUAUGGAUAUAUAGACACCCCAGACCAGGAUGUAGAUACAUUAUGUUUGGAUAUAUAGACACCCCAGACCAGG